rnacentral:piRNA from 1 species
UCACCUACAUGAAAUCCCUAGAAUAGCGGGGU